UUUGAAGAAAUGCGGGAGAGUGAACAUGGGGAAUUAUAGGCCAAUUAGCCUUACAUCAGUCAUGAGGAAGAUGCUGGAGUCGAUGAUUAAAGAUGUUUAGCAGCGCAUUUGGAAAGGAGUGACAGGAUUGGUCAAAGUCAGCAUGGAU